rnacentral:rRNA from 1 species
AGAGUUUGAUCAUGGCUCAGGACGAACGCUGGCGGCGUGCUUAACACAUGCAAGUCGAACGAUGAACCCGCUUCGGUGGGGGAUCAGUGGCGAACGGGUGAGUAACACGUGGGAACCUGCCCUCAGCUCUGGGAUAACUCCAAGAAAUUGGGGCUAAUACUGGAUAUGACCGCCGACCGCAUGGUCUGGUGGUGGAAAGAUUUAUCGGCUGGGGAUGGGCCCGCGGCCUAUCAGCUUGUUGGUGGGGUAGUGGCCUACCAAGGCGACGACGGGUAGCCGGCCUGAGAGGGUGACCGGCCACACUGGGACUGAGACACGGCCCAGACUCCUACGGGAGGCAGCAGUGGGGAAUAUUGCGCAAUGGGCGAAAGCCUGACGCAGCGACGCCGCGUGGGGGAUGACGGCCUUCGGGUUGUAAACCUCUUUCAGCAGGGACGAAGCGAAAGUGACGGUACCUGCAGAAGAAGCACCGGCCAACUACGUGCCAGCAGCCGCGGUAAUACGUAGGGUGCAAGCGUUGUCCGGAAUUAUUGGGCGCAAAGAGCUCGUAGGCGGUUUGUUGCGUCGGCUGUGAAAACCUGAGGCUCAACCUCAGGCCUGCAGUCGAUACGAGCAGACUAGAGUGUUGCAGGGGAGACUGGAAUUCCUGGUGUAGCGGUGAAAUGCGCAGAUAUCAGGAGGAACACCGGUGGCGAAGGCGGGUCUCUGGGCAACAACUGACGCUGAGGAGCGAAAGCGUGGGGAGCGAACAGGAUUAGAUACCCUGGUAGUCCACGCCGUAAACGUUGGGCGCUAGGUGUGGGGCUCAUUCCACGAGUUCCGUGCCGCAGCUAACGCAUUAAGCGCCCCGCCUGGGGAGUACGGCCGCAAGGCUAAAACUCAAAUGAAUUGACGG